AAAAGAAGCCCAUACCUUAUUUGCUAACAGCAGGACAUCAGACUAGCAAACAGAACAGAGGGAAGGGACCUAAGGCAGCUAAGUGGAUUCAGAAGCAAGGUGGAAUUUCUGCUCGACAGGUCGACUGGGAUUGUGAAUGAUACGACACGACAGAAAAGCUAAAUUGGCAGCGAGCACAUUGGGUCCUCCACACACCACUAGAGUCCGCCCUGGCUCCACAGGUACUUAUGCUAAUGCUAAGUUCCUCCGCAUGAUAUGAUCAGCGAGGGUGGGGGAAGAUCCAGAGCUACUUUCAAGCAUCUAACUGCCGGAUUACACUGUCUGAAACACUGUCACGCAGAGGUAUUUUAAUGCAGACACACCCACAUCCCCCAAGGGUGCGGCAACCCAUGCUAUCAUGUCUAAGUCAAAAGGUAAGCAGAGCUGCUUUCUGUUUGGUUGGCUGCGCCGAUUAAGGUUUGCUAACAGCGUUAACGUCUGAUAUGUGGCACAUUUCUCGGUGAAGUUGCCGAGCGAAGGCCACAACAUACCGCCAGUAUCCCGCGUCUCCAUCACAAUUUGAAAAACGACUAAAUUGAACACGGAAAUCAAGGGACCACUGCAUUUGUGUUUGCUGAUGUGUUCAUCCACCACGUACACACAGUGUAGUGGAUGGAGUGCUGCUUCCAUGCAUUCACCAUUGGACUAUGAGUAUAGGGUGUGUAAAGUCCGCUAUCAUUCUUGAUCAUUAAUCAAACGUUAUUAAAGACACUUGGAAACGGUUCUAAAUUUUGACGCACAGAGCAAGUGAUCCCACUGGGAAAGGUAUUUGGAACUGAGAGGGCUCCCACAGAGCAG